rnacentral:rRNA from 1 species
UACGUAGGGUCCAAGCGUUAUCCGGAAUCACUGGGCGUAAAGCGUGCGUAGGUGGCGUGUUAAGUGUGAUGUUAAAUCGCGGGGCUCAACCCUGUCGCUGUAUCACAUACUGGCACACUAGAAGGACGGCAGAGGCAAGUGGAAUUUGUAGUGUAGCAGUGAAAUGCGUAGAUAUUACAAGGAACACCAAUGGCAAGCAGCUUGCUGGGCCAAUCCUGACACUGAGGUACGAAAGCGUGGGGAGCGAACAGGA